ACACAGGGGGAGCCGUAGGCUGAGAGUGAACGUAAUGUUCAGACCCUUUAAACCUGUUAUGUUAAUACAUGCGUAGGGAUAGUGUUGUU
rnacentral:ncRNA from 1 species